UACCAUGCAGUCGACGGUAGCACAGAGGAGCUUGCUCCUCGGGUGACGAGUGGCGGACGGGUGAGUAAUGUCUGGGGAUCUGCCCGAUGGAGGGGGAUAACCACUGGAAACGGUGGCUAAUACCGCAUAACGUCGCAAGACCAAAGUGGGGGACCUUCGGGCCUCACACCAUCGGAUGAACCCAGAUGGGAUUAGCUAGUAGGUGGGGUAACGGCUCACCUAGGCGACGAUCCCUAGCUGGUCUGAGAGGAUGACCAGCCACACUGGAACUGAGACACGGUCCAGACUCCUACGGGAGGCAGCAGUGGGGAAUAUUGCACAAUGGGCGCAAGCCUGAUGCAGCCAUGCCGCGUGUAUGAAGAAGGCCUUCGGGUUGUAAAGUACUUUCAGCGGGGAGGAAGGGGACGAGGUUAAUAACCUCGUUCAUUGACGUUACCCGCAGAAGAAGCACCGGCUAACUCCGUGCCAGCAGCCGCGGUAAUACGGAGGGUGCAAGCGUUAAUCGGAAUUACUGGGCGUAAAGCGCACGCAGGCGGUCUGUUAAGUCAGAUGUGAAAUCCCCGGGCUUAACCUGGGAACUGCAUUUGAAACUGGCAGGCUUGAGUCUUGUAGAGGGGGGUAGAAUUCCAGGUGUAGCGGUGAAAUGCGUAGAGAUCUGGAGGAAUACCGGUGGCGAAGGCGGCCCCCUGGACAAAGACUGACGCUCAGGUGCGAAAGCGUGGGGAGCAAACAGGAUUAGAUACCCUGGUAGUCCACGCCGUAAACGAUGUCGACUUGGAGGCUGUGAGCAUGACUCGUGGCUUCCGGAGCUAACGCGUUAAGUCGACCGCCUGGGGAGUACGGCCGCAAGGUUAAAACUCAAAUGAAUUGACGGGGGCCCGCACAAGCGGUGGAGCAUGUGGUUUAAUUCGAUGCAACGCGAAGAACCUUACCUGCUCUUGACAUCCACGGAAUUCGGCAGAGAUGC
rnacentral:rRNA from 1 species